rnacentral:misc_RNA from 1 species
UUUUUAUCGAAAUGAAAUUCCCUCUUCUUCUAGCAUACUUUCUAAUCGAUAACACAUAGUUGUAUUUCAAAUUUUUUAGUCAAUGAUAUUCGACGUAUAUAUAGAAUUUGAGAGGUAUGUCUGUGCUAGAAAAUAAUACAGAUUUUGAGUGUGAAAACAAUCCAAAAAUUUAUAGAGGCAAAGCUCCAAUUGCUUCAAUAGAAGUAAUGGACGAUUUGGAUUUACUUUCUAAUAGUAGUACACAUUUAAGUAGAAUUAAGAGUGAAAUGAAUAACAAAAACAUUCACGAAAUAAAAUAUAGGCAUCUAGGGAAAUCAGGUUUGAAGGUACCAAAUAUAGGAUUGGGUUCAAUUAAAGUUUUUAAUCAAGAUAAUUUAGACAAUAUUGAAGAAUUAGUGACAAAUGCAUUUAACUUCGGUAUAAAUUUGUUUGAUAUAUCAGAUCCUCAUAUUGCUGACAGAACAGAAUACGAGUUAGGGCGAAUAAUUAAAAAAAAAGGAUGGCAUAGGAAACAAUUCACCAUAUGUGCAAAAAUAUUUUGGCAUAAGAGCCAUGAUAAGGCAUUAAGUCGUAAGGAAAUCAUUGAAAGCACUAAACAAACACUUGCAAACCUUCAACUUAGUUAUGUAGAUUUGAUGAUUGUCCACAAAAGUGAUUCUAAUUGCCCAAUUGAUGAAAUUAUUAGAGCAUUCGCCUACCUUAUAAAUGAUGGGAAAAUAAUGUACUGGGGUACUGCUCGAUGGUCACCGGUUGAAAUUUUUGAAACUUAUUCUCAAUGUCGACAUCUGGGACUGAUUCCACCAAUUUGUGAAUUGGGAGAAUACCAUUGGUUUCAUAGAGAAAAAGUCGAACUAUAUAUGGCAGAACUAUAUAAUAAAAUUGGUAUUGGUCUUAUGACAUGGUCUCCAAUUAGUUUUGGUCUUUGUCUUGGUAAGAAUGAUGAUCCAUUGGAUCUUUUACCCAAAUUGUUCAUGAAAAGUCAAAAAUACAAUAAAAAUAUGGAAAUUCUUAACAACGAUAGCCAUUCAAAACUAUUGCAAUUAAGAAAUUAUGCAGAUAAAUUAGGAUGCACUCUAUCACAAUUACAAGUUGCAUGGUCAGUAAGGAAUCAAACAUGCCAAUGCGUAAUAAUUUCAGCAUCUGAUUCUAACGAACUGGAUGAAUUAAUAGGCAGUUUAAAAGUAUAAGAAUUAGUUUUCCGAAUAAAAUGCGCUAUGAUCUGACAUCCCAGUGCCUAUCGUUUCAUAAUCUUAAAUAAUCGGAAAUAAAUAUUCAGACACAAAGAAAUAGUCAAGCCUCAAACCCUUACUAACAUACUUCUAAUAAAAAAGGAACGAACAGAAGUUUUAUGAAACUUUAUUGGUGCAUCCUACAGAUUUUUUAACAUGAUAAAUUUUUUAAUACUUUGUUUGUAUUCUUAUUGUUAGUAUUCUAAAUAUAUAAUGUAACCCUUUCCAGAUUUAAAGCCAAAUUAAAACCUCCUAUUAAUUUAACCUCUUUAUGGAGAAAUUUCUUAAGCAAAGCAAAAGGUCCAUAAGAUAUCACUCAGCUUAUACAAAUUCAAAAAACAACGUACAACUCUGUUGGUCUACUUAAAACGAAUCAGGGAUACAGGCAAUCACCUUCCAAAUGACUAAAAAUACUCACGGAAACUCAUUUCCACAAUGCAGACUCAGUAUGUCUUCUGGAACAUCCAUGCAAGUAAAUGAUUUUAAAAUAGACUUGUUGGAUAGCAACAAGGUAAGGGAAUCCUUUAAUAAGAUCCUUGUACAAAAGUUUACUAAGUACCCCUACGGUAACAGCCAAGGUUAAUGGUGAAGAAGUUUGGGUCAAACCAAUCCGUGGGAGCCAACAAGAGGGUAUUCUAGCGCCAGUCGUAUGGGAUAGGAUUAAGGACAGUUUACUCAAUAAAUUUAAAAAAGGAGAAAUCAAGGUCGUUGGCUACGCUGACGACAUCCUCCUUUUAAUUAGGGGAAAACAUCCUCCCCAUACCCUUUUCAAUGCAAUGCAAAGGACAAUCAAAAUUGAUAUUCAAUGGAAAAAAAAAUCCACAUCAAAUCAUGCAGGGCAUGUCACUGUACCUCUUCAAUUUUCUUCAAAAUCGCAGCAGAGUUAGCUUUAAUGAAAAUUAGAUUACCCUUAAAAUUUGAGCGUCUAACUCCCAGUAGUUCUUGAGAUGUCACAUUUUUAAAAAUCAGCGGUGUCGAGAAUCCUGUUGAAGAUAGCAACAUUUAAAAUUACCUUUUUGGUCACAAAAUUUGGACCAGUGAAGCUAAUUGAUACGAAGAAUACAAAAAAAUUAUUUAUUUGGUAGAACAACUUUUCAUUUUUCAGAUAUGACACUAAUUUUUUUUUUUUUCGUUCAAUCCAAAUUUCAUCGAAAAAAUUGAUGUAUGAAUAAAUAUCUGAACAAAACCUAUUGUUAACAUCGCGUUCUUAGUCCCUAAACGUAACUUUCACCAAAUAGUUGUUUUGGGAAGCAAUUUCUUCUUAAAAAAUUGAAACUAAAUCCAAAAUUCGUAAAUUAUAGGAAGAAAAAAAACAACAAUAAUGGUGUUUUCGGCCACUCAAAAAAAAAAAAUGAUAUUAAAGCUCGUUUCUGAGCGUACCAAUUAUAAUAAUAAUAAAGCUCGCUUUCCAUCACAAAAUAAUAAAAUCGAAUGAGAAGAUUACUUUAGAUGUGAUUUUCAAUUAUAAAUCUAAAACAAUAAAUAAUGAGUGAGGAGAAAGGUUAUUUUGGAAAAUUGCUCAAGCAGCAGUGUCAUAAAUUGGACUCGGUAGAACUAAAGGGAUGCUCAGCAUGCCACAUCUUCAUCCAAACGUUCGUGAGGAGUUGUUGUGGAGAGCUGGUUUUGUGAAGAAUCGAAAAAAUAUCAACACAAUCUGCAAACAUCAUAAACAUUUAUUUAGAGAUAACUACGUGAAGAAGCAGAAAUAAUAAUGUAAUGUAUUGUCCAGAAACAAACAAAAAGUUGCUAGUGAUCGUGUGAUCUCACUGGAAAUUGCGCAGUUAUUGAAAAAAAAGGGGCACAGCGUGUUGCCAGUACAAAAGUUUUGUCCUACAUGCAUCAAACAUUACAAAACCAUCACAAAACCCACAGAAUGGCAAACUUCUGGAGAAUGCGAUGAACUACUUAUAAGAAUCUCCGGGAGAAACUUGUGUGCAGCACAAGCAAUCGUUUGUGCAUGAUGCAUAGAUGUGAUCACUUCCCGGUUCUGAUGCCAUUCGUGAAUUUCUGGUUAACGAACUGGAAGACUUCAACGCUAACGCAGAGUUCCACUAUUCCCAAUCGGAAACCAGGGAUCGAGCAACUCUUGCCACCAUCAUCACAACAUGCGAUGAGUACAAACAAUUGCUCAUUGAAUUUAUUGAUAAACUGAAAAAAAAUUGCUAUCUGGCUAAAUGUCAGGGUCUGUACAUGAAAUCCUGAAAGAGAAUCCUAGGCAGGACAAAAGCUUUGGUUCUUGGUGACUUCGCUGAUAACUAUCAGUUUAUUGUCCAAGACGAAAUCCAAAGAUUCCAUUGGAGUAAUAUUUACUGCACUCUUCAUCUUAUCGUCAUCUACGUACUCUACGAUGAGGGAAAUCUGAAGCAUGAUUCUUUGUGCUUCGUCUCCAUCGACAAUACACACAUUUUACGGCAAUAUUAUUAUAUAAUAUUCACAAUACGGCAUUUGUAUACGAAGUACAGACGAUGAUAACACAGUACAUUUCCUAUGGUUGUGCAGGGCGGUAAAAAAAUAACAAAAACUUCAUCAACCUUUGUAAUCACAAACAAGACUUCGGGAUUGAAGCUCUCGGGGCAUGUUCGCUAACAGUCAUGGUAAAUGUCCUUGUGACGGAAUUUGGGGAUUAGUGAAGAGACAUCUAGCUAAGACGAAUCUUCAGAGGUCACUUAAAGUCUUUUAUUGAGGUUUGUAGGGGGAAACUCGCCAACAUCUGUUUCUUUCACAUCAGUGAAGAGUGCAUCACCCUUGUCUGUAAAAGUUUCGUUGAUCGUUUUAACCUUGGUAGAACUGUCAUAGGAACACGAAAAAAUCAUCAUUUUGUACCAAUGUCAACUUCCACCAUCACUCACUAUCUUACCAGUGAAGAUACAAAGGCUGUUGAAGUGUUCUGUUUCAACAGCACCCCCGAAGCAACCGUUGUCAAACUAAUCACAUGCAUAUACGACACUUACUGGUGGAUUGGAUUGGUAGAUAGUUCUAGUGAGAGACAAAAUGAUAUUGAAGUGAUAUUCCUCCAUCCACAUGGUCUGAGAAGAUUGCUUUACUGGCCAACAAAUAUAGAUAAAUGUUUUGUUCCUUGUACCAAUAUUCAAUGCUCCAUUUCCCCUCCUACCAUGUCUACAUUCACUGCCCGUUACUACAAGAGCUCCCACAAAGAUUACGAAAAUACUAUUUAUAAAUUUGAAAGAUUCCAUCAAUAAACGAUUCUUGGACCAAAUAAGUCUUCCAUGCAUUUUCCUUUAUACUCUAGCUUUAUGAUACUUUCUUUUAUCUUUCCACUUGUUUAAUUUCCAAAAAAGAAAUAACAUAGCUUUUUACACUCAGUAUUAUUAUGGUACAUUUCAUAUUUCUGGUUUUGUGUACGUUCUACAUCACAUUUUGAUGUCGUAACUGUUGAACCGUUCUCGUGAGCAUUGUCAUUUAUUGAUUCCCAGUCCAAAUAUACUAAGAGGUGGUUCCUUGGUUGGUUGGUGGUUGGUAGUUAUAAGAGGGCUUAAUAGUUCCCUUCCAGUUUGGUACUUUUAUUUUAUAUCUAAAAAUUGGUAGUGAAUUUACAAAUUUUGCACCAAAUUGAAGGUAUUUAUUUUCAUAGAAGGAAUUGUUUCCCAAAACAACUAUUUGGUGAAAAUGAUGUUUAGGUACUUAGAAAGGGAUGUUAACAUUAGUCUUUGGACAGAUAUUUAUUCCAACAUCAAAUUUUUUGAUGAAAUGUGGAUUGAAGGAAAAAAAAAGAAUUAGUGUCAUAUCUGAAAAAUGGAAAGUUUUUCAGCCAAAUAAAUACGAUUUUUGGAUUUCUUGUAUCAAUUAGCUUUUUGGUCCAAAUGUAGUGCAAUUUUGAAGAAAAUCGAAGAGGUAGGGUGACAAAAGUAUUUUUUUCUGGAUGAUUUGAUGUUGUUUUACCAAAACUUAGAUCAAAAUUAUUUCCACAGCAAGAAAGGAAUAGCAAAGUGAUGUGUGAUGUACGUAGGUGCAACUUUUGAUCAAGGACUCACCUGAACAGAGCAUUUGAAAAAAAAGCCUUCACCUUUUCUCGGAUAUAGAAUAUGGACAAGGCAAUCCUAGGACCAAAAUGGAAGCCGUUCUUAAACAAGGUUAUCUGGUUGUAUGAAGCUAUGAUCACACCUAUCAUCUUCUAUGGGUGUCUAGUAUGGGAACAUGCAAUCACUAUAAAGAAAAGUGCAAGGUUUAAUAUUAAAUACCAUUAAAAGAAAGGGCUCUUGGGAAUUACUCAUACAUUAUGAUCGACACCAACUGCAGGAAUUGGGGCAAUUUUGGGUAUUGCUCCUCUGGAUAUAUACAUUAAGGAACAGGCAAUGAAAUCGAGAUGGAGAACGAAGCAUUUCUUACGUGAUACCUGGGAUGGAAUUGGUAAUUUUCCAAAAUCUUGUGGGUGUUGGUUCCAUAGUGAUAAAAUACUUACACAAGUCGGAAUGGAUGAACCAAGUCAUUACAUAAAAGGAAAUCGUAUUUGGAUGUAUAAUAGUCAAAUUAAGAAUCCUGACGCGACGAAGACGGAAACUCUGGGGCUGGAUGGGCCGUCAUCGACAAAGAGAUUUUUCCCAUAACACAAGGUGUAGAAGUUCUUCUCAAGUACGAAAAAACCCUGAACAAUGUAGUAAUCAGAUCAGACUCCCAAUCAGCAAUUGCUGGAAUCUUUAAUCAACUUAUCAUUAGAAAAUAAGUUUUAAAAUGUAAAGAAACCAUCAUCAAAGGAAUUAGUUAGAAAUAUGUACAUCUAGAAUGGGGCAAAGGACAUUCUGACAUUACAGAAAAUGAAUUUGAAGACCAUUUUGUGAAGACGGGUACUAAGAGCCAAAAAUUUUACUAUUGGGACACCUCCGAGCUACAUAAAGAAGGUCAUUCAUGACUUCUUCCAUUAUUAUUGGUGUGACCGAUAUAAAAGAGAUCAAAGUAUGACACAUAAGAAUACUAUGCUCAAUAAGCCGAAAUCGAAGUGUAUCAAGCUCGGAAGAGAAAAAUUGAGACUCAUUGUACACGCCUACACUGGACUUGACCCUUUUAUAGCCCACUUAAGCAAGGGGAAAGACAUAAGCUCAACAUACAAUGUCUGUAUGGAAGAACUGUUAAGUGAAGAUUAUCUAUUAAUAGAUGCCCCGCCUUAUUUUAAGAGAGACAUCAUCCAUUAAUGAGAAAAAGGAAGACUUUCGUAUUUUAAAAUUUAUGAAAUAUAAAAAAAUAAAAAAUGUUAUUUAACAAAAUUUUAAUGUAAACUAUAUUUUAGAUUCUGCUGUAGUAGCACAAAUACCCCGUUGUGUAAUCGUGUUCGUUCCCUUAUAUUUGUAAAAUUUUAUUUUAUGUAUUUAUGGCAAGCAGUAAUAAAUAUAUAACAAAC